AGUAAAAUGUCUGAUAAAAGUGAUAAAUUGUAAAUUUAUUUAUAAGAUUAAUUCUUUUUUACUA
rnacentral:tRNA from 1 species